AGAGUUUGAUCCUGGCUCAGGAUGAUCGCUGGCGGCGUGCCUACUACAUGCAAGUCGUGCGAACUGACGAGACGCUUGCUUCUCUGAUGUUAGCGUCGGACGGGUGAGUAACACGUGGAUAACCUACCUAUAAGACUGGGAUAACUUCGGGAAACCGGAGCUAAUACCGGAUAAUAUUUUGAACCGCAUGGUUCAAAAGUGAAAGACGGUCUUGCUGUCACUUAUAGAUGGAUCCGCGCUGCAUUAGCUAGUUGGUAAGGUAACGGCUUACCAAGGCAACGAUGCAUAGCCGACCUGAGAGGGUGAUCGGCCACACUGGAACUGAGACACGGUCCAGACUCCUACGGGAGGCAGCAGUAGGGAAUCUUCCGCAAUGGGCGAAAGCCUGACGGAGCAACGCCGCGUGAGUGAUGAAGGUCUUCGGAUCGUAAAACUCUGUUAUUAGGGAAGAACAUAUGUGUAAGUAACUGUGCACAUCUUGACGGUACCUAAUCAGAAAGCCACGGCUAACUACGUGCCAGCAGCCGCGGUAAUACGUAGGUGGCAAGCGUUAUCCGGAAUUAUUGGGCGUAAAGCGCGCGUAGGCGGUUUUUUAAGUCUGAUGUGAAAGCCCACGGCUCAACCGUGGAGGGUCAUUGGAAACUGGAAAACUUGAGUGCAGAAGAGGAAAGUGGAAUUCCAUGUGUAGCGGUGAAAUGCGCAGAGAUAUGGAGGAACACCAGUGGCGAAGGCGACUUUCUGGUCUGUAACUGACGCUGAUGUGCGAAAGCGUGGGGAUCAAACAGGAUUAGAUACCCUGGUAGUCCACGCCGUAAACGAUGAGUGCUAAGUGUUAGGGGGUUUCCGCCCCUUAGUGCUGCAGCUAACGCAUUAAGCACUCCGCCUGGGGAGUACGACCGCAAGGUUGAAACUCAAAGGAAUUGACGGGGACCCGCACAAGCGGUGGAGCAUGUGGUUUAAUUCGAAGCAACGCGAAGAACCUUACCAAAUCUUGACAUCCUUUGACAACUCUAGAGAUAGAGCUUUCCCCUUCGGGGGACAAAGUGACAGGUGGUGCAUGGUUGUCGUCAGCUCGUGUCGUGAGAUGUUGGGUUAAGUCCCGCAACGAGCGCAACCCUUAAGCUUAGUUGCCAUCAUUAAGUUGGGCACUCUAAGUUGACUGCCGGUGACAAACCGGAGGAAGGUGGGGAUGACGUCAAAUCAUCAUGCCCCUUAUGAUUUGGGCUACACACGUGCUACAAUGGACAAUACAAAGGGCAGCGAAACCGCGAGGUCAAGCAAAUCCCAUAAAGUUGUUCUCAGUUCGGAUUGUAGUCUGCAACUCGACUACAUGAAGCUGGAAUCGCUAGUAAUCGUAGAUCAGCAUGCUACGGUGAAUACGUUCCCGGGUCUUGUACACACCGCCCGUCACACCACGAGAGUUUGUAACACCCGAAGCCGGUGGAGUAACCUUUUAGGAGCUAGCCGUCGAAGGUGGGACAAAUGAUUGGGGUGAAGUCGUAACAAGGUAGCCGUAUCGGAAGGUGCGGCUG
rnacentral:rRNA from 1 species